rnacentral:rRNA from 1 species
ACGCUGGCGGCGUGCCUAAUACAUGCAAGUAGAACGCUGAAGGAGGAGCUUGCUUCUCCGGAUGAGUUGCGAACGGGUGAGUAACGCGUAGGUAACCUGCCUGGUAGCGGGGGAUAACUAUUGGAAACGAUAGCUAAUACCGCAUAAGAGUAGAUGUUGCAUGACAUUUGCUUAAAAGGUGCGAUUGCAUCACUACCAGAUGGACCUGCGUUGUAUUAGCUAGUUGGUGGGGUAACGGCUCACCAAGGCGACGAUACAUAGCCGACCUGAGAGGGUGAUCGGCCACACUGGGACUGAGACACGGCCCGGACUCCUACGGGAGGCAGCAGUAGGGAAUCUUCGGCAAUGGACGGAAGUCUGACCGAGCAACGCCGCGUGAGUGAAGAAGGUUUUCGGAUCGUAAAGCUCUGUUGUAAGAGAAGAACGAGUGUGAGAGUGGAAAGUUCACACUGUGACGGUAUCUUACCAGAAAGGGACGGCUAACUACGUGCCAGCAGCCGCGGUAAUACGUAGGUCCCGAGCGUUGUCCGGAUUUAUUGGGCGUAAAGCGAGCGCAGGCGGUUAGAUAAGUCUGAAGUUAAAGGCUGUGGCUUAACCAUAGUACGCUUUGGAAACUGUUUAACUUGAGUGCAAGAGGGGAGAGUGGAAUUCCAUGUGUAGCGGUGAAAUGCGUAGAUAUAUGGAGGAACACCGGUGGCGAAAGCGGCUCUCUGGCUUGUAACUGACGCUGAGGCUCGAAAGCGUGGGGAGCAAACAGGACUAGAUACCCUGGUAGUCCACGCCGUAAACGAUGAGUGCUAGGUGUUAGACCCUUUCCGGGGUUUAGUGCCGCAGCUAACGCAUUAAGCACUCCGCCUGGGGAGUACGACCGCAAGGUUGAAACUCAAAGGAAUUGACGGGGGCCCGCAC